UCUGCCCAGUGACAUUAAUUUAACGGCCGCAGUACCUUGACUGUGCAAAGGUAGCAUAAUCACUUGACUUUUAAAUGGAGCCUAGUAUGAAAGAAAGAACGUAGACUGUUUGUCUCAUUAAUAAUAUCUUUAAAUUGCUAGAUGAGUGAAAAUACUCAUAAUUAUAAUAAUAGACGAGAAGACCCUUAGAAUUUUAAAAAUAAAUAAUUAAGAAUUAUGUAAAUUUUUGUUGGGGCAACAAUAUUUCAUAUAAAAUAAAUAUUUUAUAGUAAGAUAAAUCGAUUUUAGUAAUUAUAGAAAAAUUACCUAAGGGAUAACAGCAUAAUUUUAAUAAUAAGCUUGUGACCUCGAUGUUGGACUAGGUUCUAUUAAGGCUAAUCGUUUUAAUAUAAUAGGUUCUGUUCGAACUUUGCUACCUACAUGAUCUGAGUUCAAACCGGAGCUC
rnacentral:rRNA from 1 species